rnacentral:rRNA from 1 species
GGAUAAGACCACGAACAGUUCGCUGUUUGAGGUAAAAGAUGGCCUCUGCUCCUGCAAGCUAUCUCUUCAAGAGGGGCCCGCGGCCUAUCAGCUAGUUGGCGAGGUAACGGCUCACCAAGGCUAAGACGGGUAGCUGGUCUGAGAGGAUGGUCAGCCACACUGGGACUGAGACACGGCCCAGAGUCCUACGGGAUGCAGCAGUCAGGAAUAUUGCGCAAUGGAGGAAACUCUGACGCAGCGACGCCGCGUGGGUGAUGAAGGCCUUCGGGUCGUAAAGCCCUGUCGGGAGGGAAGAAAAAUCUGUUGGCUAAUAUCCAGCAGAUCUUUGACGGUACCUUCAAAGGAAGCACCGGCUAACUCCGUGCCAGCAGCCGUGGUAAGACGGAGGGUGCAAGCGUUGUUCGGAUUUGACUGGGCGUAAAGGGCGUGUAA